UGGUGUUCAAGAAGCAGAGAGGAACAAAUUAGUUUUCUAUGAUGGCUGUUCAUAUAAUUUUGACUUAGAAGAUCUGUUGAGGGCUUCAGCUGAGGUCCUAGGAAAAGGAAGUUACGGGACUACCUACAAAGCUGUUCUUGAGGAUGGUACGACAGUGGUGGUCAAGAGACUGAAGGAAGUGGUGGCAGGAAAGAAAGACUUCGAACAGCAAAUGGAGAUAAUUGACAGGCUUGGCCAGGACCAGAGUGUUGUUCCAUUGCGUGCUUUCUAUUACUCCAAGGACGAGAAGCUCUUGGUUUAUGACUAUGUUCUAGCCGGCAGCCUUUCGGCUGCUUUGCAUGGUAUGCUCUCUUCCAAGUCAUCUUUGUACCAUUAAGCAUUUCACUACCUGAUAAAACCUUGUUUUAAGCUUUGAGUUUGUUUGUGAAUAUAGAUGACUAAAAAAACGAUGCUUGAUAAAGAGUACUGUGUGAGCAAGAACAGACUAUUCAAGUUUUUUUCUGUGAUUAAAAAAUAUGUUUUUUUCGAAAAAGGAUUAAAAAUAUGUAGCAAUGUGAUAAUGCUCCUUACUAAAUCACAAAUGUGGUUCUGAUCGUGAGUACGAAACCAAAAGUAUACAUCAAGUUAGGCAGCUCAGCAGCUGUACUCUGGCAUGGUGAGGAGUGAUUUUCCUUUAUUAUGUUAAUCUCUUGGAAUCAGGGGCGAACCCCACCGGUUGUUACAUUACUCGAAAGAGAACUAGGCAGUUCAGCAGUGUACGAUGAAAGUGGCAGGGAUCAGCCAGCCGGAGCUAAACAAGAAAGAAAUUAUGUGUUGGUUCUUCUGUUUGACCAAGUUUAUAGAAAAAUCUACCAACAUCUACAACUCCAAACUAGUUUACUUUAAUAUAUUUAUAGUAUACUUAUUUGAUAUUGUAGAUCUUACUAGAUUUUUCUAUAAACUUGAAGAAGUUUGACUUAGGACAAAGUUAGAACUUCUUAUAUUUAGGAACAGAGGGAGUAGAUAACUAGACGAUGUAUAUAUUCCUCAUGUGCUGCCUUUUGGCACUUGACCAGUUAUUCUGCUGAAGAAAAAUGAAAGAUAGACAAAGGUAGUGCGAGCUGUUGUCAACGAAUUCCUUGCUCACUGAUUUACUGGCUAAUUUUAUGUUUUUUACUUCUUUUCUAGAGUUCUGGUGAACAUUCAGAGGGAAUUACUUUCUUAGCUACUCCCUCCGAUCCUCAAUUCUUGUCGUUGUUUUAGUUCAAAUUUGCACUAAAACAACGACAAGAAUGUAGGAUCGGAGGGAGUAGAAUUUUAGGCUUUUAAGCCACAGUCGUUCUCUUGAUGUUGAAAAUGUGUGAAGAAGAGUAGGUGCUGGUCUUACAGGGCCUUUGGCUUUUAUGGGAAUCAAGCAUAUCUCAGAUGGUAUGCACCUUUUACUUUUAGGAAUGACGCAGGGUGUAGAACUUUGACAUUUUUUUUAUGUAAUGUCAUACUGGAUUUUUAUUUGCAAUCUGUUGCAGUUAAUUUGGUCCACCUUUUACUUUUAGGACUUGCCUUUGUAGUUUGUACUAGCAUUUUUGGGGGGUUUUCUUCACAGUUAACUCUCCAUUUGGAAGCAUUAUGUAUUACUGAUGUGCAUAUGUAUUAAAACAAAAUUACAUGAUCACACACUUACUUACAUUAUAAAUACACAGGGAAUAAAUCUGCUGGAAGAACACCACUGGACUGGGGGGCGAGAGUAAAGAUAUCGCUCGGUGCUGCGCGUGGGAUUGCUCAUCUUCAUGCUGAAGGAGGCAAGUUUAUCCAUGGCAACAUCAAGUCGAACAACAUCCUACUAUCGCAGGAACUCAGCGCUUGCGUCUCCGAGUUUGGCCUCGCGCAGCUCAUGGCCACCCCUCACAUUCCCCCACGGCUCGUCGGGUACCGUGCACCGGAGGUCCUCGAGACCAAAAAACCAACACAGAAAUCUGACGUCUACAGCUUCGGUGUUCUGCUUCUUGAGAUGCUAACAGGGAAAGCCCCUCUCAGAUCCCCCGGGCGCGACGACUCCAUCGAGCACCUCCCUAGGUGGGUACAGUCUGUGGUCCGGGAAGAAUGGACCUCGGAAGUCUUCGAUGUCGACCUGCUAAGGCAUCCGAACACCGAGGAUGAGAUGGUUCAGAUGCUCCAGGUUGCAAUGGCAUGCGUCGCUGUCGCUCCUGACCAGCGGCCUCGGAUGGAGGAGGUCGUCCGGAGGAUUGAGGAGAUCGGGAGCUCCUACUCCGGGACAGCAAGGACAUCUCCCGAAGAUAAGCCGAAGGAGGAAGCCAUCCAAAUGACUUGAGGCAAAAUAGGUCUGACAGAUGUGUCUCUCUACCUGCAAGUUGAGUUGAUAUAGUUCUGUGUUUACUGAAUCUCUGGUGAUUUCUGAUCAUUCUUUUAGUAAAUUUGUUUCACAUUCUUGGUUUCAUCUUGCUAGUCCUCUCGAUUGCCUCUCAUCUUAGCUCUGCUGAUCAUCAUAGGGUGUGUGUUUACUGUUGUUGUGCCAUGAUGUAAUUGUACCCGACUCUUUGAAGGUAUCAUUGAUUCACUGAAUGAGCAUUCUGGUUUAUCACUUGCCUGUGACUUAGAUUUUCUCCAAUUAUUAUGCUUUGGUUCAAGUAUCCUUGUGAUUUGUCUGCGGUAGUGUGGUGUUACUUAAGAGUAGCUGGCGACAGUUGGAAAUCAAGUUGUCUGCUGCUGCUAAGGUACUGCUUUUCUUUGACAGAUCCAGUACGGGUCAAAGUCAAACAGUAGCCUUGCAUGCAAUGACUUGGUAGGUCAAAAAGUCCAAACAUACGUAAUAACCGGUUCAACGUAAAGAAGUCCAAAUAAAACCCGCCCACGACAUAUCCUUUGAUCUGAUCCGACGACACCAGCAUCUUGGACGAGGCUCGUCUGGCGGCUGUUGAAUUGUUAGGUUCUAACCUAACUGACUUGUAGAGCUCCAAAAUAGAAAUGCCACAGUUGUCACGAGGAUAAAUGUACAUAUGUUCUCGUUUUCUGUAACCUAACUGACUUGUAGAACUCCAAAAUAAAAAUGCCACAGUUGUGGCGAGGAUAAAUGUACAUAUGUUCUCGUUUUCUGUUGGCAAGAGCAAAAGUUUCAAAACAAAAAAUGUCCAUAUGGUAUAUAGUACUCCCUCCGUCUAUAAAAGGAUGUCUUAACUUUGACUAAAUUUGAAUGCAUUUAUACACUAAAUCAUGUCUAGAUACAUCUAAGUUUUUGACAAAAUUAAAACAUCUUUUGUUGGAUGGAGGGAGUACCAAAAAUAUCAAAAUAUGUGAAAAGGUUGAAUCCAACGGGAUUAUUAUAGCAAUUCCUGAUUUGCCAAUCUUGCUUUAGAAUGGAAGGGAAAAUAGUUGUUGUAAACCACAGAAGUGGUCGUUAUGCUUGGUCUAGACACCAUGUAUACUUUUCAACUCGUAGACCGAUCAUAAUUCAUAUGGUCGUAUGCCGGAGGUGAAAAGAGCGAAAUUAAUCUUCAGAAAGAAAUUUGGAGAUGGCCAAAAACUAGAAUCACUAGAUCAUGUUGUGUAAUCGUGAGGAUUUUAGCAAAAGUGGCGGCGACAUAUUUAUUCAAACUAGCCGGUAUAUUAAAUUCUUUUAUUAUCGGCUGUAUCAAGCUGCAGUAGCAUGUGAAGACGGCUAAAUGUAGCAAAAAUGUCAAUGUACUGAAAUCCACAAUGCAUGUGAAACACGCUAGUACAAAACAGGCUAUACGUGACCCCAUUAGUGUCGUGUGUAGAUAACUAUCAGUGGCUGGUGCAAAAGGACACGCCACUGAUGGACCGAUGAUGGUCCAUGUCUCGUCCCACGGGUCAGCCAUUAGUGGCGGUCCGCCAGGAAACCGUCACUGAUAGAUAGUCAGAUAUCAGUGGCGGUGGUUAUUAGUGGCAGUUUUCCAUUUUGAACCGACACUGAUAGGUGGUUUAUCAGUGGCGUGUUUCAAAGCUGAAAACGUCACCGAUGGUUCGAUAUUAUCAGUGGUGGGUUCUGCGUGUUGUCCACCACUGAUAGGUUGGCCAUAUAAAUAGGCCCAGCGGCCGCUACUGGUCGCGCGCUGCGCGUCUUCUUGACCAGCUGCGGCCGCUAUCCUCAUCCUCGACGGCGGAGCUCUGCCGCGGAAUGGCGCCGGCCACCACCAGGUAAUCCUCCUCUCCUUCUUCUUCCUCCCCCGGCCCUCCUCUUCUCCUUCCUCCCCUUCUUCUUCCUCUGCCCGCCUCCCCCUUCUCUCCCCCCGGAUCUAGUCUCGCCCCCCCAGGCGGCGCCGCCGGCCGGCCGGCUGGCCCCCGCCCUUCUCUCUGCCCCUUCUUCUUCCUCUCCCCUCUAGUUCUCUCCCGCAGGAGGCGGCGGCGGUACAGGCUCUCGAUCCCCAUUAAUUUAGCCCCCACGCCCUCCCCACUGCCCACACUGAGGCCGGUCAAAUUCUGGGCAGCACGCCGCCACAUCCCACCUACUCUAUGCAAUGUGUUUUCAAUUCGUGCCCGGUGAUGUAAUUUGUGACUAAUUGCUUCAAUUUCUUCUAUGUUUUCUUAGCUCGGUUCUCCGUGGUUGGAUGUAUGAGGAGAGAUUGUCGACUUCUUGGGUUGCAAAAUGGGCCGCAUUUUAUGAUUUCGCGGUAGCUAAUAUGAAGAGUAGGGGCAAUGUAAAGAUGUGUUGUCCAUGUGACAGAAAUCGUAACACAGUGAUGCACCUGCCAGUGGAUGUUGAGAUGCACGUAAUGGCAAAUGGAUUCGUAGAAGGUUAUUUUUGUUGGACUUCGCACGGGGAGGUUGCUGUAGAAGUGGGUAGUGGCUUUGAAGAAGAACACAUAGAGUUCGACCAAAGUGGUGAAGAAUAUCGUGGUGACGACGCCAUGGAUGAAGAAACACCGGCCGAUGAAGCUCUGCGUGGUCGGAUGGGGGAAAUGCUAGAUGGCGUGCACUUACAGAAUCAACUGAAGGACCCCGACAAUGCCAUAGAUGAGAAGAAGUUCCAGAAGCUAGUCGAGGACGCAAACACACCAGUGUAUGACAAUGCCGGCAUCAACAAUAAUGUCCUAGAAGUGACACUUGAACUUCUUAGGAUAAAAGCAAAAUCUGGGCUUUCUGACAAGGGCUUCACGGAGAUGUUGAGUUACCUUGCUACAGUCUUUCCAGAGGGCAACAAAUUGCCUAAGAGCACAUACGAGGCGAUGAAGAUUACCUGCCCGCUUGGAUUAGACGUUGUGAAAUAUCAUGCAUGUCCACUGGACUUCAUUGUAUACACGGGACCGCACAAAAACAAGGACAAAUGCCCAAUAUGUGGUACUUCAUGAUACAAGAAGAAAGAUGGCAAUCACGACGAAGUCGAUGAGGAAGAAGUGAGGAAAGGUCGGCCGGCGAAGAUCGUCUGGUAUCUUCUGAUGGGUAGUCGGUUUGAGCGUUGGUUUCAGAACUUGAAGGAUGCGGUGAGACUGAUCUAUCACGAUCCGCGUGAGAAGAUGUACGAUCCAGAUGGAGAGUACCGUACAGACAAUACUGAAACUGGGAUCCUCAAACACCCAGCCGAUGCGGCUCAAUGGAGGACCUUGGACGCGGAAUUCCCAGAUUUCGCCAGUGUCCCAGGAACCUAAGGCUAGGGCUGAGCACUGACGGAAUCAAUCAAUUCGGCAACAUGAGCAGCACACACAACACAUGGCCAGUGAUCAUAUUUGUGUAGAACCUUCCUCCAUGGUUAAUCAUGAAGAAGUACAUCCACCUGUGUAUGCUCAUACAAGGCCCAAAGCAACCCGGAGCUGACCUAAAUGUUUAUCUUCAGCUAGUGAAGGAUGAGCUUGCUGAACUUUGGAAUAUAGGUAGAAAGGUUUGGGACGCUCGCAGGGAGGAGUACUUCAACCUUAGAGCAGCGUUGCUGACUUGUGUGCAUGACUACCCAGCAAACGGUAAUACAUCAUGCCAGUGCACAAAGGGUACAAGGCAUGUACAAAGUGCGCGGAGAAUACAAUAUCGGAGAUGUUGCCCACAUCACGCAAAAUUGUGUACAUGGGACACCGACGGUGGUUGCACCCUAAAGACCUGUGGAGGCUUGAUGCAGAGAGCUUCAACGGAAAGGAAGAGCAUGAGGGUAAACCUAGGGAAAAGUCUGGCUUUGAAAUCUAUGAUAUUGUCAAGGAUCUGGAGGUUAGGCCUGGGAAAUCUGAAAAUGUUAAAGAUAAGGACGACCCGGACACCUCCGUGUGCAAGAGGAGAUCUGUAUUUUGGGGCCUGCCAUACUGGCUACACUUGCGAUGCCGACACAGCAUUGAUGUGAUGCACGUCGAGAAAAAUGUAUGUGACAACGUGUUGGGAUUGUUGAUGAACAUCGCUGACAAGACGAAAGACGAACCGAAGGCAAGGAAAUACUUGGAAGUUUUGAAGAUACGGAAAGAACUGUGAGCAGAAGAAGAAGAGUCACCGGAAGACAAAAAUGGUUUCAUGACGGUGACUACAUGUUUUAAUCCUGCUUGUUACAAUCUGAGCAAGGAUGAGCUGCAUAGAGUGUGCGAGUGUUUUCGAGGCAUCAAAGUCCCUUCGAACUACUCCUCCAACAUCAAGUGGCUUGUUGACACGAAGAGUCACAAGCUAGUUGGUAUGAAGUCUCACGACUGCCAUGUGAUUAUCACGCAGUUACUCCCAGUUGCAAUCAGGGGUGCCAUGGAGCCUAAGGUAAGAGAGACAGUGAUGAAGCUUUGUGACUUUUCUGACACGAUCUCGCAAAAGUCAAUUACCGUGAAGUGUUGUCUCUUACUGCAACCUAUGAUGGUACAGAUAUUGUGUAAAUUUGAGAAGUACUUCCCUCCGACAUUCUUUGAUGUCAUGGUCCAUUUAAUGGUCCAUAUCGUCGACGAGAUAUUGUGCCUAGGGCCAUCUUUUUUGCACAACAUGUAUGGGCCCGAACGAUACAAUGGGGUUUUGAAGCUUUAUGUUCGUUACCGAGGGCGUCCUGAAGGUAGCAUCCUCCAAGGCUACCUGGUAGAAGAGUGCGUCGAGUUUUGCACAUAUUGGUUGGCAGAUCAGAAAGCAAUAGGCGUGCCAAAAUCAAGACACAAGGGCAAGCUAGCUGGCCAAGGACUUUCUGGGCAGAAGUAUAUCGAAGUACAUUCAAAGAGGAGAGCAGCUGACUUUAACAGAGCACAUUUGGUGGUGCUUCAACACAUUGAUGCGGUCCGGCCUUACCAGGAAAUGCACAUGCAAGAGCUUCAAAACAACAACCCUACCAGAGGACAAAUUUGGAUCCACAGAUAGCACAAUAAACAUUUCGCUGAGUGGCUAAAGGAGUAUUGGUAUGAGAGGGAGGCGGUAGAUGAAAACAAAAAGACGGUGCUAAGGUUGUCACAGGAACCAGCUUAUAACGUCGCCACAUGGCAAGCCUACGCUAUUAAUGGGUACACGUACUACACAAAAUCUCAGGAUUGUAAAAGUCAAUAUCAAAAUAGCGGUGUAGUAUUGGUUUCCGAAACUGCAACUGAUAGCCAAGCCAAGACUAAAGCAUUCUAUGGAGUGAUUGAGGAGAUCUGGGACCUAGACUACUCCAUCACCAGGAUCCCACUUUUUCGUGUGAGAUGGGCUACGAACGUGAAACCUGAUGGCCAUAGAUUCACAACCAUGAUGCUACCACCUGAGAUCCCUCGUGACCAAGUUAACGUCGAAGCAAUCCCAGCAACCCAAGAACCAUGGGUAUUUGCGAACCAAUGCAAGCAAGUAUUUUUCAUAAAAGAUCCGUCAAAUAAAAGCCAUGUAGUCGUAAGGAGAGGGAAGAGAAGCAUCGUGGGAGUCGACGGAGUUACUUCGCAAGAAGACUAUGACGGAGCUAAUGUGCUAAUGUGACUGCCGUGUAGUUUUCUGGGUGUGAUUUCAUGGGGAUGUGUCUGCUAGUGUUACCUAUUAGUUGCUAAUGUUUCAGUUACUUUUGGGAAAUUCAUUGCACAGUUUUAUGUAUCCUGCAUGUAGAUGCAUGAGAUGCUGGGCUUCAUAUAGGAUACUGUCUAACUAGUUUAGAGGUGUGAAAACACACAAAAGUGAAGGGAGGGAGAUCUAUGCGCACCAGUUAGUAGUUAUAGACUUACCGUAGAUUUCUAGAAGUUGCGCGCGCGCAAACAUACACUAAUUUUUAGAUUAUGCCGAUGGUGUAAUUAAAUCUGAGGGUGGGGGCUUUCCAAUGCAGGUACAAAUUUCUGUAGUCUAAAUUGCUAGUUUUAUAGCAUAGGUCAUGCCGAUUUUUUUCAUUUUCCCAACUAAGUUAUGCCCAAAUUUUCCAUAUACUAUAUAUGUUUACGUUGAUGAUAUAGGUACUCAAAAUGGCUAGGACUAAACAAAACUGUCGAAAACCAACCCGUGAAGAACCAAUGGUUGAAGAACCAGUUGUUCAAGAAGCACCUCCGCAAGAUCACAGCCAGGAACUAGAAGAAGGUCCGAAUGAGACAUAUUCAAGUGGAUAUUCUUCUUCGGGCUCAUCACUUAGUGGUGUCGGCUCUUCAAACCCAAGUGACGAAGAGCAACCCACCGAUGGGGGAGAACCUACUCUCUCGGCUAGUAAGGAAAAGAAGGUUACCAGGCGAGGGAGCCACAUUUUGAAGGAUGAUGUCUAUGUCAUCACUAGGAUUUCUGCUAGAGGCCGGCCUUUGAGUCCUGAGAAGGUAGCUGAUACCUUCAGCAACACCCUAGGAGCCAUUGUCCAGCGAAAUUGCCGGAUAGUUCACAAGUGGACCACCGUUCCUAAGACGACAAAAUAAUUUUGCUUCACGGAUGUCUGGGCCAGGCUCAAGGUUAAGCCCGAGCAUGUCAAAGAAGUUCAUAGAGCUGCCAACCAAGUAAUGCGUAGGGGCAUAAUAACUGGCAAUCGACUGCUAGAAAGUAUUGGCUCGAUGUUCCCAUUGAGAAGGUUAAGGAAAAAUGGCCUUCCACUACCCCAAAAGAUUGGGCAUCUUUCAAGAAGGAAGCAAAGGACCUCGACUUCAUUGCGAGGCAAGAGAGAUAUAUUGAGAUGCGCAAGAAGAAGAAGCACAACCACCAUCUCGGAAGUCAUGGGAAAGAGGGCAAGAAGAAGGUUUGGGACAAGGAGGACGCCCAGAUGGCCAAAGAUGGCAUAGUGCCUCCUUUGAAAGGGAAGCUUAAGCAUCAACACACUAAAGAUUUCAUGCGAAUGCAAAUGAGAAAGGAACAGUGGACGGGGCAAGAGGAUAUGCAAGAGGACCUCCAAGAAGUUUGGGUAAGACAAUGAUUACAAGUGCUCAUGUUAUAGUAUAGCUUCCUAUAACACCGUCAAUACUCACUUUACCUUUGUCUUACUAUUACAGGACUGAGCUAUUGGUUACGAGCAGAGGAAGGAGAAGGAGAUGUCAGAUGGCUCCAACGACUCGGUCCAUAGCAAGAGAUGGGAGUCGACUCUGACCUAUAGCUUAAACAGGCCCGAGCAUACAUGCCGUAUACUGGGGGAGGGAGAAGGUGCACCAUGGAAGAAAUUUUUCGGCAAGGAUGAUUCCAAGUGCCGAAAAAGGAAGUGUUGCGACAACGAUGAUAUACUCGAAAGGGCGGAGGAGGCCGGAGCAGUUGGCGCAGCGAAAGCUCUCUCUGUGCUACUCAAUGGCUUGCACGAAAGUGGCGUGGACGUUAAUGCGGUGCUGCAAAAGUCCGGUGCGCAAGUCAUUCAGGGUCUAUUGCUUCAAGGUCUCCCCACGCGCAGUCGGGGUCUGCAACGUCCGCCAAGGAGCAGUAGUGUUGCUUCCGGGUCUGCCACUACCGAUGUUCCAAUACCUAAUCCGGGUCCAAGCGACAACAUCACGGUAAGCAUCUUUGCCUUACCUACUUCACUCCUUUCAUUGCUCAACAUGCUUUCACACAAUGUUACAUUGUUACGCGCAGGAUGGCAUCCCUUGCCUAAUUCUUGUGGACAAGGAUGGCACGGUUGAGGUGGCCGCACACGGCAUCUUGAUGCCCAGACAAACACCGGCACUUUUGCAUGGAAUAGUCAUGCCUGAUGACCAUGUGAAGGUGCAGGUAAACUCCGUCGUCGAGCAACAUGUUCACUACAUAGUCCCUUACCCUCCAGAGGAAGACGUGGAUACUCUAGGCGCAUGCGAGAGCAACUUCAUUGCAUGGCCUAGGAGGUUGGUAGCGACACGGAGCAUGGCUUCUCCUACUCCUACUCCAUCUCCAUCAGCGAGAAAAGGUGUGUCUCCAGCUCUUUCAAACAAGCGAGCUCCUUCUUCAUCGCCUCUUGGCUACUCCCCAGGUAUGCCGUCCCCUGUUGACCCCUCAGAUUCCCAAGACCCUAAAUUAAACUCGUGCCCUGUUGACGUCGAUGGCGCAAAAAACACCCAAGUGUCGCCGCCAUAUGAGAGAGCACGCCUACCCACUAGGCAACCAAGCCUCCCUACACCUCAGAUGGAAUCACUGUUGGGGGCCGCAGAGUCAGCGUUUGGCCGCAAGAUCCCCCAGGUUUACAAAGAUGAGGAGAUGAAAGUUUUCAAAAGCAGGCGAGGCAACACAAAGAGAGAGAGUAGGGGGAAAGGGCUGCAGAAAGGACACCGAGGAGAAGGGCAAGGAUCCCUUUCAUGUGCCAGAAGUCGAUGAGAAUUGGGAAACAAGGCCUGAUAUUUCAAGCUUGGACCACUUCCCUCAAUAUGGGUCCAGAUUGGAUGAUGGAUCCUAUCUUGUGAGUAGAAUGGGGGACAAAUAUCUCAUUUACUACCCUGGACGACUGAUGGUAGGGCCCAAUAACCUUCGUGGCUUGCCACGAGAGAUGCAACAACUUCAUGAGUUUUAUAUGAGCCAAUCGAGGGAUUCUGCACAACAUGUCUAGCAACUAAACGUUCUAGUGCCAGAGGACUAUGGCUUCUUUAACCCAGUAGAGGGGGGCAUGCAGAAAGGUUCCUUCACCUUCGUACUGGAUUUCGUGGAUAUGUUUCACUUUUUCAAUAGCCAGAAGCUUGACGACAGCUUGCUAAGGCUGCGGUGUGUGUCCACAUAAGGGAGGCCAUGCGAAUAAAGAAACACGAUGUGGUCGUACUCGACCCAUUACCAUUUUCCUACCAAAUGAUCGGUCCUGGAGAGCAUAAAGAUGUUUCAAGAGAUAUGUCGCAAUUGUACCUUCAGCAAGCAAUGCUCAAAUACCAAGACCGCGACUUCAUCCUUUUAACCUACCAUUUGGAGUAAGUUUAUUUAAUAACAUAUAUCUAUUUGUUGAUCCACUACAUUGUUAUCCUUGCUUAUAACUAUUUGUUUCUUUUCAAAACAGGGAACAUUGGGUCCUAAUAAUCAUUUGUGUACCGUGGGGCACGGUCACAUACUUCGAUUCACUCCGAAAAUGCAAAGAUGAACCACAACGCCAUUGGGAACCCAUCAGAAAUCUGAUCGAUUUGUCUUGGGAUUCAGCAAAGAAAGACGGGUUUCCUACCUUUGGCAGGCCUAGGCUCCAACACAAUUAUAGGUUCCCCUGCUUGCAACAGCCUCGAGGCACCGUGUACUGCGACUACUACUGCGCCCACCACAUCGAGAAUUGGAUCACCAACUUCAAGCCUGCAUGGAGGACGUCAUUGAAGGAGCUGCACAAGAAAUGGAAUGAGGAGAUGCGGGAUAUACACGAUGCAAGUUGGCUUGUCUACAACAUCCAAAGGAACAUGGCCAAGGUAAUCAACAGGGAGGUGAUUGAUGACGCGGGCGAUUUCUACGCAGGACCGGUUGUUCGGUCAUAUCCCGCUUAAACUUUGUAAUCCAUUCAUGUAAUAUGAUGAUUUGCUUUUGUUGCCUCUAAAACUUAACAAUGUAGUGCUGCAUGAAGGUUUUUAUUAUGCAUAUGGAUGUUGUUAUGAUAUAUAUAUGCUCUGGAAUGAACUGUGUGAUUUCAGUGUAUAUUUCUGUGUAUAAUUCGGGUAUAUUGCUGUGUAUAUUAACCUGGGAAUUAAAUAAAUUAAACAAUUUUUUUUCAGUGUCGGGCACUGACCGCCACUAAUACUCACACUGCAACCGCCACUGAUAGACCAUCUGGGCCUGUCGUGCGGCUCGGACGGGAAUCUAUCUCUAUCGGGCCGUAGGGCCGAUCAGUGUCGGUCAGGGAAACCCGACACUGAAAGGUCUCCCUAUCAGUGGCGUGUAUUUCACCCGCCACUGAUAGCUCACCUAUCAGUGGCCAGAAGUCUGUGGCGUGCGGCCAGCACGUCACUGAUAGGCAAUUUCGCACGACACUGAUAGCCUGUUUUGUACCAGUGACACUUCGCUUGACGCAUAUCCUUGGCAGUUAUUUCCUCCUUUUUAGUUUAUCAGCCCCUGUCUUGAAGACCUUUGGGGUGCAUGCAUGCUUCACUAGUAAUUAGUCUAGCAUCUAACGUCUGAAUAAUCCCCCAAGAAAAAAACCCCAGAUAUAUUGCCUGAUAAAAACAAACUAAUAAAUCAAUAGCUAACUUCAUCUUACUACUGAAUUUACAUUGACUUAGUUUGACAACGAUAUGUCCCCUGUUUCACCAAACAAAUCAAUUAGAUGAAUAGGGAAUCAACAAUUGACAACAUUAUUCGAAAAAACUUGAUCCAAUCGUCCAAGGCAUAAGGUUACUUUGUUUAUUUUUUACUUUCAAUUGUCGUGUCUACAUGUAUUUGCAAAAUUCAUGUCAUUAUAUGACAUACACCAUAUGUUAUAGUAUAAUAUAAUAUUCCAGCCGCUCCUUUUUAUAGGCAUUUCUUUUUGUGUCCCAAAUUGUGAGGUGUAAGUUGACUCUAGACUUGACUUUCACGCAUCUCUUACAAGUCUGCUAACGCUUUGUGGGCGCUUUUGAUCCAUACCUCUUUGUUUCUCGGCGGCGCAACUUAAUCUGUUUAGUCUACUGGUCAGAGAAUUAGCAGAAUUAUGGUCACGAUAAUUCCAUGGAAAGAAAAUUACACAUGUAAAAGGAGAUCAGAAGAAGAAGAUCACACAUACUAUACGGGCCAAUUUAAUUCGCAUGAUAGAAAAGAAAAUACAGAAAUGGAAAAACACAGGAUUGUAAUGUCAUGUCCAUCUGAAUCCCAAAGGGUUAUGUUUGGAUCAAGUUCCAUUUGAUUGAACAAAAUAAAAAGAAAAGAAUAUUAAAAAGAGGUUGAAGUGGAUGAAAAAUUUCUUACUCCCUCCGUCCGCAAAUAAGUGUACAUCUAGGUUAUCCUGAGUCAAAGAUAUUAAACUUUGGCCAAUUUGUUUGGAAAACGUAUCAACAUUUAUGACACUAAAUUAGUAUUAUUAGAUCUGUUUUGAAAUAUAGUUUUAUAAUAUAUCGAUUUGAUGUCAUAUAUGUUGCUACCUUUUCAAUAAUGUUUGUCAAAUCAAGAAAAGUUUGACUUAGGACAACCUAGAAAUACACUUAUUUGUGAACGAAGGGAGUAUGAAAUAAAGUGCAAUGCCAUCUUCAGGACAAUUUUCCAUGAAACUCAAUUCUACAAAUAAAAAUAAAACCCAUAAAGAAAAUUUUCUUAAAUUGCUACCACGAAAAUUCAUUGAAUCAAAGAGGCCCUAAACGAAGACAUGUGAAGUUGUGAAAUAUUGUACUCUACAUGUUAUUUCAGGUUGAGUGAUUGAUGAGUUCAGAACCGACUUCAUAUUUUAUAGAUACCGUAGACAAUCUUAUUUGUUUUACCUGGGCCAGUUUUCUUUGGGAUGACCUAAGAUGAGUUGUUAACUGGAAGGAACAGAUUCCUUUGCCUGGCUCGGCACUUAAUUUCGGAAAGGAAAUACUCUCUCCGUCCAACAAAAAAUGUCUCAAGUUUGUCAAAAUUUAGAUGUAUCUAAACAUUACUUAUUGUAUAGAUGUAUUCAAAUUUAGUUAAAGUUGAAACAAAUCUGGUCUGUUAGAAGAGGAAGUAAAAAAACAGAAGAAGAACGUUCCGAACCCAGACCCCGAGAAAAUUAUAAAACCGGCACGAACCCGACGCCUCCUUUGAAACCCGUCUCACACCACACGCGACGGACCCGGAGCCGAAGCAGAAAAGAACAUCGAAGGUGCGGCGGUGCGCUCUCUCUCCGUCCUCUGGCCGUCCCCAACCUCUCGCUGCAAGCUCCUCCCGAUCCGGAUCCGUCCGCAUCGACGCCGUAACUGCCAAGGACUUUUUGGGCCUGAAUUUUUCCUUCUGGUUGGUAAGACGUGUUUGCCUCCGGUAGAUCCGCGGUUCGAUCUGACGCUCGCUGAGGCGGCGCUGCGUGUUAGGUUUGUGAUUCGGUGGGUUUUGUGCGUAGGGAGUUCGAUUUGGUGCGCGGCCCAUUGGGUGACUUACUCGAUGUGUUCGAUCUCUCGCGGGCCGUGGUUGGAAUUGUAUGGUCGUUCUUACAAGGACGUUAGGUGCUUGACGUUCUCCGUUCUCGGGGAUGGAUAUAUGUAAUUAUUUGGAAACAGUCGUAGACUAGAGUUAUUCGUUUAUUUGUUGCGUAGGUAUUUGUAUCUGAGAAUUCUGGGGUUCGCUCCUGCAGCCUGUGACGAUUGAGAUUUAUUUCAUCUCCGAGAUUCCUGAAUUGAUUCGGAGAUUCCACACCAGUGACAAUUGUGUAGUAAGAUAGUGAUUUCUCAUGAGCAGGGCUUUUUCUAUUACUGCUUUAACUGAAACAUCCAUAUGUUUUUGCGCUGAACUGAACUACUAGUUCCUAUAUCUGGUAAGUAUCUGAUGGAUAGCUUGGUUUCCAGAGUAGAAUGUUUGAGUUAUAUUACUACCUCCGAUCGGUAUUACUUGUCUCAAAUUUGCUCAAAUACGGAUGUAUCUAUGUGUAAAAAGCGUCUAGAUACAUGUAAUAUUUCAACAAGUAAUUUCGGCCGGAGGGAGUACUAGAAUUAUGAGGCUGUGUGGUCUGAGUGGUCAUUGUCCAGGAGAUUACACUGAUCCUGAUAGUUAUUUCGUGGUCAUAAUAUGGAUGCAGUACAUUUCCUUACAUCUGCUAUAACGAGAGGAGCUCUUUCUUUCUCUCUAGGUUGCUUAUCAUGGCAUCAAAGCGCAUCCUCAAGGAACUAAAGGACCUGCAGAAGGAUCCUCCCACAUCAUGCAGCGCAGGUUUGAUUUUGAGCUAUUUAUAUUCAAAUGGAUAUCUAUGUCAUAUCACACCUUAUUCGUGCACACGUUAUUUCAUGUUCUAGCCUGGCAUGUCAUCUCAUGGGCUGCAAUUUUCAUCUGUACGUUGAUCAGGUCCUGUUGGCGAGGACAUGUUUCAUUGGCAAGCACCGAUAAUGGGACCCCCUGACAGUCCCUAUGCCGGUGGUGUUUUCUUAGUGAACAUUCAUUUCCCCCCUGAUUAUCCAUUCAAACCCCCGAAGGUAUAGGAAUAUGUGUGCUCUGCCUACAUUCAUAUACUUCAGUUUUUUUAAUCUGGCUAAGUUAUCUGUUCUUUUGAUCUUGCUUGGAGGGGAGCGGUGGGUCGGGUAUAGAUAGCAGAACUCUUUCUUCUGUUUGCUUACUUAAUCAAUCUCAAUGGUUCACCUCUAUUCUUAUAGAGGAAGGCCCUAGCAAAAGAUAACUAAUCGCAAUACCUAACGGAUAUAUCAAUCUCAAUACCUGAACUCUAGGAUAUCUUGCUAACAAAUCAAUGAACUAAUUAACCACUAUCAUCUGCCACCCUUACUUUCUAUGUGGCUACUAUUGGCCUAGUUCACGCCCAUAGUACAGGUCAUUGAACAUUGCCUCUCCUGUUAGGUGUCACAUGUGCACAUUCCCUGCUGAUGCUUUUCUUCAUGUUGUACUCAUGGUAUCACACUAUUUUCGUGGUCUUUUUUUUUGUUACUUCCAUAGAAGCAUCUUUUGGCUAUAUGGUUAACCAUGUGUGCAAUUUGGUCCCCACUAUUUUUUUUUGUAAUUGUGUUAUUGCUUUGCGCCCCCAAGGAAUUUUUGCGCACCCCAGAGCAUGCUUAGAACCUCGCGUGAACCAGUUAUAAUAAAAACAGGACUUAAGUGUUCAGUUUCAUAGUUUUAGGACCAAAGUGACACCGCGACAAUAAAAGUAGGACCGCGGGUGUAUUCACCACUAACCUAACUGACUUGUAGAGCUCCAAAAUAGAAAUGCCACACUUGUCACGAAGAUAAAGGUACAUAUGUUCUCGUUUUCUGUUGGCAAGAGCAAAAGUUUCAAAACAAAAAUGUCCAGAUGGUAUAUCGUACCAAAAAUAUCAAAACAUGUGAAAAGGUUGAAUCCAACGGGAUGAUUAUAGAAAUUCGCGAUUUGCAUCAUAAUUUAUAUGGUCGUAUGCCGGAGGUGAAAAGAGCGAAAUCUUCAGAAAGAAAUUUGGAGAUGGCCAGAAACUAAAAUCACUAGAUCAUGUUGUUCAACCGUGAGGACUUCAGAAUAAAAUAGAACACGUCAUAUACCGAUAUACGUCGCCCGAUUUAAUUGGACAGUUACAGAAAGUGGACGGUUUGUACAGCAAAAGUGGCGGCGACCUAUCUAUUCAAACUAGCGGGUAUAUUAAUUUUUUUUACGGGCUGUAUCGAGCUGCAAUAGCAUGUGAAACGGCUAAAUGUAGCAAAUAUGCCAAUGUACUGAAAUCCACAAUGCAAUGUGAGACACUUCGCUUGAUGCAUAUCCUUGGCUGUUAUUUCCUCCUUUUCAGUUUAUCAGCCCUAUCUUGAAGACCUUUGGCGUGCAUGCAUGCUUCACUAGUAAUUAGCUAGUCUAGUAUCUAACUUCUGAAUAAUCUGCCAAGGAAAAAGAAAACUGAUAUAUUGCCUGAUAAAAACAAAUUAACAAAUCAAUAUCUAACUUCACCUUACCACUAAAUUUACAUCGACUCAUUUUGACAACAAGAUAUGUCCACUGUUUCACCAAACAAAUCAGUUAUUACUUCUUCCGUCAAACAAAGAAUGUCUCAACUUUGACUAAACUUGAAUGCAUCUAUACACGUCAUGUCUUGAUACAUCUAAAUUUUGACAAACUUGAGAAUUCUUUUGUUGGACGGAGGGAGCAGAGGAAUAGGGAAUUAACAAUUGACAACAACACUUGGGAAAAAGUUUCGAUCCAAUAAUCAUUAUUUGAAAAAACUUGAUCCAAUCAUCCAAGGCAAAAGGUUACUUCGUUUUACUUUCAAUUGUCAUGUCUACGUAUAUUUGCGAAAUUCCUGUCAGUAUAUCACAUAGACCAUUAUGAUAUGGAGUAGUCUGUUACUAUCUACGCCCUCUUAUUUAAUAUUAAUUGUCUCAAAUUUGUACAAAUAUGGAUGUAUUUUAUGUCUACAAAACGUCUAGUUACAUAUAAUAUUUUGACAACUAAUAUGGAUCGGAGGUAGUAUUAAAUUACAAACAGUGGUUAUUUAAUAUUAGUUGUCUCAAAUUUGUACAAAUAUGGAUGUAUUUUAUGUCUAUAAAACGUCUAGAUACAUAUAAUAUUUUGACAACUAAUAUGAAUCGGAGGUAGUAUUAAGUUACAAACGGUGGUUAUGACGCAUGUCCGUAGAUUUUUUCAUCAAAACUCGUGCACCGUUAGGGAAAAAGGCGAGAGAUCUCCUAACUUAAAGUUAGUGACUUCACAGUCACUGACAGGUGGGACGGGUCCACAUGUCAGCGAUCGUAAAGUCACAUCAAGUCCAGGGAAAAACGCGCCCGUUUCAUCUCCCGUCGAAACGUUUUCUCUCCUGUUCGCCUUCGAAAGAAAACGCCUCAGCAGCUCGCUGCUCCACGGCGUCAAGCCUGUGGCCUCCUUCGUCGCCCUGGCCUGGCGCCGCCGCAGAGGUCCCACCGCCUCCUCUCCCCCUCCCCCUGCCGGGUCGCCGGCCGCAGCAGGCCCAUGGAGAAGGCCAGCAACCGGAGCAGCCUUCCUCUUCUCCUUCACCGCUUCACGGCCUCCUCGCGCCCUCUGCCCGCAGCCUCGGGCGGCCGCGUAGCAUUUAGUUUGAUCAAGUGCCAUCACUCAUCCAAUUUCCGAACAGAGCAUGUUCCUUCCGUUUCCUGGAACAAGAGACAAACCAACCGAGGCGAGCGCGAGAAGAGACGGCAGGGGGAUAAGAGGGAAAAAUAUUUUAGGGGAGGGACGGAAUCAUGGGAGAGUGGCAUCACGUACAGAGAAGAGAGGAGAACAAUUUUGGAGGAGAUAAGCGCAUCGGCCGAGCGAGAGCGGAGAGAGACGGGCGGUUGGCGGCCUAAUCGGUAGAAGCAGCGAGAGAGAUGGGAGAUUUUUUUUUUGAGAGGAGAGAGAUGGGAGAUGGCCUAGUGGACCGGUGGAUGAACCGUCCGGGUCCGGCCAUGGGCCACUGGGCCGGUUUUGUAUUUUGGUGUUUACUUUUGCUUUUACAUCUGGGUUAAUUCACUACUUAUCGUACUAAAGGAUCCAUAUGUUAUACUCCCUCCGUCCCAUAUCAAAUGACGUUAUAUUACAUUAUCUAGACGUUUUUAAGUUUUCUAUGAUGGCUGUUCAUAUAAUUUUGACUUAGAAGAUCUGUUGAGGGCUUCAGCUGAAGUCUAGGAAAAGGAAGUUACGGGACUACCUACAAAGCUGUUCUUGAGGAUGGUACGACAGUGGUGGUCAAGAGACUGAAGGAAGUGGUGGCAGGAAAGAAAGACUUCGAACAGCAAAUGGAGAUAAUUGACAGGCUUGGCCAGGACCAGAGUGUUGUUCCAUUGCGUGCUUUCUAUUACUC
rnacentral:lncRNA from 1 species